GUAUUUGGACCACGCACAGAGCAGGCCCAGCGGCCUGCUGAGGGGCAGAGCUGCCCCCCACCCCCCGCGCCUGUCAGGUAGGUGGAACUGUGACCACGGACAGAAAAGGCCCAGGGGCCCGCGGCGGGACAGAGCUUCCAAUCACUCCUGCAAGGUAGGCGGGCCUGCGACCCACCGGCAGAAGAGGAGCAGCGUCCUGCUGAGAGGCUGAGCAGCCCCCUCCCCCUGCACCGGCAAAGUAGAGGGAACUGUGACCACGCACAGAGCAGGCCCAGCGGCCUGCUGAGGGGCAGAGCCGCCCCCCACCCCCCGCGCCUGCCAGGUAGGUGGAACUGUGACCACGGACAGAAAAGGCCCAGGGGCCCGCGGCGGGACAGAGCUUCCAAU
rnacentral:lncRNA from 1 species